rnacentral:rRNA from 1 species
AUACGGAGGAUCCGAGCGUUAUCCGGAUUUAUUGGGUUUAAAGGGUGCGCAGGCGGCCAUUUAAGUCAGCGGUUAAAUCGUGGGGCUCAACCCCAUUCUGCCGUUGAUACUGGGUGGCUUGAUUGCGGUCGAGGUUGGCGGAAUUCGUUGUGUAGCGGUGAAAUGCAUAGAUAUGACGAAGAACACCGAUUGCGUAGGCAGCUGACCAGACCGCAAAUGACGCUCAUGCACGAAAGUGCUGGGAUCGAACAGGAUUAGAUACCCUGGUAGUCCGCACAGUAAACGAUGAAUACUUGUUUUCGGCGAUAUAAUGUCGGAGGCAAAGCGAAAGCGAUAAGUAUUCCACCUGGGGAGUACGCCGGCAACGGUGAAACUCAAAGGAAUUGACGGGG